UGAUAAAUUUGAGUAAAAUGGUUCCAACCAAUGAGGAGUGGUGGGAUCAAACCAUUAGGAAUACACGGAUAUGCAGCUUAACCAACACAGGUUUCUCAUUUUUUGACCGGUCACUGUUGACAAAUUUUUUGAAUAGGUGGCAUGGGGAGACCAUCCACUUCCAUUUUCCUUGUGGGGAGAUAACAGUCACUCUAGAUCACGUGUACUGUGUCUUUUGCAUCUCACCGUUGAGAGGCAAAUCACUCAUCAUGAAACAAAUCUCCAAAUACAUCAAAGUAAGGCAACUAAGGCCACAUGGAAACAAAUCCGAAUAGUAAAGCAUCAAAGUCAUGAAACAUAAAUUUCUUAUUAUAGAUAUUCAAUAUCUCAAAGUCAUAAUACAAAAGAAAAUUCUAUAAAAAUAUAUUGCCUUUUAGGACUUACUCCAACAUCUUCAAAGUGCAUAUUGGUCCUUGGAGUUUCUUUGGUGAUUUUAAUGCCAUAUUGGGUGCUCAUGAGAAAUGUGGAAAGCGUCCUUCGUGAUGAUUUUUUUGACUUGGUCUAACUUCUGGUGUGCGAUUAACAAGGAACAACGAAAGGAUGGGUGGAGAUUACGUUGAUCUUCGUUUUGAUAAAACUAUUUAUAAUAUGGAUUGAAUUAACCUGUUGCAAAAGACCUCUUCUAUAUUUUCUCAAGAAUUAUCUUCCCGUCAACAUGCUCUUCUGAUCCGUUUGGUAAUGGGCUUCGGCUAAAAUGAAAGAGUUGGACGAUGGUGCACCAGAUGUCAAUAACUUUAUAACGAAUACAAAUUUUACAAAAUUAAUCGUUGGAUUGAAAGUUUAGAUCAUGUGAAUUAUCAAUACAAAUUUUUAAAAAAAUUGAAAGUCAUUUGAUAUGUUAUUGAGACUCAUCAAAAUUAACGGUUUAUAUAAAUUUUUAUUUAAUACCAAUAAUCUU
rnacentral:lncRNA from 1 species